rnacentral:SRP_RNA from 1 species
GCCAAGGGCAGUGCUGUGUGCCUAUAGUCCCAGCUACUCAGGAGGCUGAGUCAGGAGGAUCGCUUGAGUCUAGGAGUUCUGGGCUAUAGUGCGCUAUGCUAAUUAGGUGUCCAUACUAAGUUCAGCAUCAAUAUGGUUACCUCCUGAGAGCUGGGGACUACCAGGUUGCCUAAGGAGGGAUGGACCAGCCCAGGUUGGAAAUGGAGCAAGUCAAGAAGUGCUGUAUAGUCCUCAUAUUUAGGUGCAAGUAAUGCUUUCUAUGCACACAUCCACAAUGUGCCUUU